GGGGCCAUUCCAUGGUUUCCGCGUCGCAGCUAACGCAUUAAGUGCCCCGCCUGGGGAGUACGGCCGCAAGGCUAAAACUCAAAGGAAUUGACGGGGGCCCGCACAAGCGGCGGAGCAUGCGGAUUAAUUCGAUGCAACGCGAAGAACCUUACCAAGGCUUGACAUAUUCGGUUUAUCCCUAGAGAUAGGGAGUCAUUUAGUUGGCCGUAUACAGGUGGUGCAUGGUUGUCGUCAGCUCGUGUCGUGAGAUGUUGGGUUAAGUCCCGCAACGAGCGCAACCCUCGUUCUAUGUUGCCAGCACGUAAAGGUGGGGACUCAUGGAAGACUGCCGGGGUCAACUCGGAGGAAGGUGGGGAUGACGUCAAAUCAUCAUGCCCCUUAUGUCUUGGGCUUCACGCAUGCUACAAUGGCCGGUACAAUGGGCUGCGAACUCGUAAGGGUAAGCGAAUCCCAAAAAGCCGGUCUCAGUUCGGAUUGAGGUCUGCAACUCGACCUCAUGAAGUUGGAGUCGCUAGUAAUCGCAGAUCAGCAACGCUGCGGUGAAUACGUUCCCGGGCCUUGUACACACCGCCCGUCAAGUCACGAAAGUCGGUAACACCCGAAGCAGGUGGCCUAACCCUUUUGGGAAGGAGCCUUCUAAGGUGGGAUUGGCGAUUGGGACUAAGUCGUAACAAGGUAGCCG
rnacentral:rRNA from 1 species